UUCUGUGUAUGAAGAUCAUUUACAUAGAGAGACACUUUGCAUGAGAGUGUUUAUAGUGCUGUGAGUUUAACACUUCAUGACUGAGAGCAGAACAGAACAGAAUCUUCAUCAUCACACAAGACAAAACAACAACAAUGAACAACAUCAUCAUCCUCAUCUGGACACUCACACUGUUUGCUCAAGAGUGUAGAGGACAGUACACUGUAACUCAGAGUCCAUCAAUAACAGCAGCUCAACCAGGACAAGUAAUUGGAAUAAACUGUAAAACCAGCAGUAGAGUGCACAGCGAUAAUCAUUUAGCCUGGUACUUACAAAAACCUGGAGAAGCUCCUAAACUCCUCAUAUAUUAUGUAAAGACACUCCAGUCAGGAACUCCAUCUAGAUUCAGUGGCAGUGGAUCUGGCAGUGAUUUCACUCUGACCAUCAGUGGAGUCCAGACUGAAGAUACAGGAGAUUAUUACUGUCAGAGUUACCACAGUGGUGGUGUGUUCACACAGUGAUAAAGAGUCGUACAAAAAC